rnacentral:rRNA from 1 species
AUUGAACGCUGGCGACAUGCCUUACACAUGCAAGUCGAACGGCAGCACGGAGCUUGCUCUGGUGGCGAGUGGCGAACGGGUGAGUAAUAUAUCGGAACGUACCCAAGAGUGGGGGAUAACGUAGCGAAAGUUACGCUAAUACCGCAUACGAUCUAAGGAUGAAAGCAGGGGACCUUCGGGCCUUGUGCUCCUGGAGCGGCCGAUAUCUGAUUAGCUAGUUGGUGAGGUAAAGGCUCACCAAGGCAUCGAUCAGUAGCUGGUCUGAGAGGACGACCAGCCACACUGGAACUGAGACACGGUCCAGACUCCUACGGGAGGCAGCAGUGGGGAAUUUUGGACAAUGGGGGCAACCCUGAUUCAGCAAUGCCGCGUGAGUGAAGAAGGCCUUCGGGUUGUAAAGCUCUUUUGUCAGGGAAGAAACGGUGAAGGCUAAUAUCCUUUGCUAAUGACGGUACCUGAAGAAUAAGCACCGGCUAACUACGUGCCAGCAGCCGCGGUAA